UACGUAGGGGGCUAGCGUUGUCCGGAAUCAUUGGGCGUAAAGAGCGUGUAGGCGGCUUGGUAAGUCCGCUGUGAAAGUCCAGGGCUCAACCCUGGAAUGCCAGUGGAUACUGUCAAGCUAGAGUCCGGAAGAGGCGAGUGGAAUUCCUGGUGUAGCGGUGAAAUGCGUAGAUAUCGGAAGGAACACCUGUGGCGAAAGCGGCUCACUGGACCAUUACUGACGCUGAGGCACGAAAGGCUAGGGGAGCAAACAGGAGUUAGAUACCC
rnacentral:rRNA from 1 species